AUUGAACGCUGGCGGCAUGCCUUGCACAUGCAAGUCGAACGGCAGCACGGGGGCAACCCUGGUGGCGAGUGGCGAACGGGUGAGUAAUGCAUCGGAACGUGCCCAGUAGUGGGGGAUAGCUCGGCGAAAGCCGGAUUAAUACCGCAUACGACCUACGGGUGAAAGCGGGGGACCGUAAGGCCUCGCGCUGUUGGAGCGGCCGAUGUCAGAUUAGGUUGUUGGUGGGGUAAAGGCCUACCAAGCCGACGAUCUGUAGCUGGUCUGAGAGGACGACCAGCCACACUGGGACUGAGACACGGCCCAGACUCCUACGGGAGGCAGCAGUGGGGAAUUUUGGACAAUGGGGGCAACCCUGAUCCAGCCAUGCCGCGUGCGGGAAGAAGGCCUUCGGGUUGUAAACCGCUUUUGUCAGGGAAGAAAUCUUCCAGGCUAAUAUCUUGGGAGGAUGACGGUACCUGAAGAAUAAGCACCGGCUAACUACGUGCCAGCCGCCGCAGUAAUAC
rnacentral:rRNA from 1 species